rnacentral:rRNA from 1 species
GAUGAACGCUGGCGGCGUGCCUAAUACAUGCAAGUCGAACGAGGUGCCUUUGUAGCAAUACGAGGGUAUCCUAGUGGCGAACGGGUGAGUAACGCGUUGGUGACCUGCCCCGAAGUGUGGGAUAACAGUCCGAAAGGACUGCUAAUACCGCAUGCGGCCAUCGGCCUUAGAAACCGACGUCCAAAGCAGCAAUGCGCUUUGGGAGGGACCUGCGUCCCAUCAGCUAGUUGGUAGGGUAACGGCCUACCAAGGCGACGACGGGUAGGGGACCUGAGAGGGUGACCCCCCACAAUGGAACUGAAAUACGGUCCAUACACCUACGGGUGGCAGCAGUAGGGAAUAUUGCACAAUGGGCGAAAGCCUGAUGCAGCAACGCCGCGUGCACGAUGAAGGUCUUCGGAUCGUAAAGUGCUUUUCUGGGAGAUGAGAAAGGACA